rnacentral:rRNA from 1 species
UACGAGGGGUGCGAGCGUUGCUCGGAAUUAUUGGGCGUAAAGGGUAGGUAGGUGGUUUCAUUUGUCUGGGGUGAAAGCCUUGGGCUUAACUCAAGAAGUGCCCCGGAAACGGUGAAACUCGAGUACUGGAGAGGGUCGUGGAAUUCCCGGUGUAGCGGUGAAAUGCGUAGAUAUCUGAAGGAACAUCAGUGGCGAAAGCGACUUCCUGGACCAAUACUGACGCUCAUGUGCGAAAGCGUGGGGAGCAAACAGG